rnacentral:rRNA from 1 species
GAGUAGGUGAGUCAGGGUUGUGAUUGUAUCGAAGUAUGAAAAGGUGAUCGAAAGAUUGCUUUGGAAUACGGCACAACGCGAAUACUCAACCUAUGGCGAGGUGUUGCGAGACACACUCGUUAUAGGGUCAAGCGAACAAGUGCAUGUGGUGGAUGCCUUGGCGAUCACAGGCGAUGAAGGACGCGGUAGCCUGCGAAAAGCUUCGGGGAGCUGGCAAACGAGCUUUGAUCCGAAGAUGUCCGAAUGGGGAAACCCACUCCUUAUGGAGUAUCCGUGACUGAAUCCAUAGGUCACGAGAAGCGAACGCGGUGAACUGAAACAUCUAAGUAACCGCAGGAAAAGAAAUCAACCGAGAUUCCCAGAGUAGUGGCGAGCGAAAUGGGAUCAGCCUGUACUCUUUAUCUUUGUUGUUAGUCGAACGCUCUGGAAAGUGCGGCCAUAGCAGGUGAUAGCCCUGUAGACGAAAACAGCGAGGAAGAACUAGGUGUACGACAAGUAGGGCGGGACACGUGAAAUCCUGUCUGAAGAUGGGGGGACCAUCCUCCAAGGCUAAAUACUCGUGAUCGACCGAUAGUGAACCAGUACCGUGAGGGAAAGGCGAAAAGAACCCCGGGAGGGGAGUGAAAUAGAUCCUGAAACCGCAUGCAUACAAACAGUCGGAGCCUCGUAAGGGGUGACGGCGUACCUUUUGUAUAAUGGGUCAGCGACUUACGUUCAGUAGCAAGCUUAACUGAUUAAGGCAGGCGUAGCGAAAGCGAGUCCGAAUAGGGCGUUCAGUUGCUGGGCGUAGACCCGAAACCAAGUGAUCUAUCCAUGGCCAGGUUGAAGGUGCGGUAACACGUACUGGAGGACCGAACCCACUAACGUUGAAAAGUUAGGGGAUGAGCUGUGGAUAGGGGUGAAAGGCUAAACAAACUUGGAAAUAGCUGGUUCUCUCCGAAAACUAUUUAGGUAGUGCCUCGUGUAUCACCUUCGGGGGUAGAGCACUGUCAUGGUUGUGGGGUCCAUUGCGGAUUACUACGCCAUAGCAAACUCCGAAUACCGAAGAGUGCAAUCACGGGAGACAGACAUCGGGUGCUAACGUCCGGUGUCAAGAGGGAAACAACCCAGACCGCCAGCUAAGGUCCCAAAGAUUGGCUAAGUGGGAAACGAAGUGGGAAGGCUAAAACAGUCAGGAGGUUGGCUUAGAAGCAGCCAUCCUUUAAAGAAAGCGUAAUAGCUCACUGAUCGAGUCGUCCUGCGCGGAAGAUGUAACGGGGCUCAAGCCAGUCACCGAAGCUGCGGAUGCAUAUUUAUAUGCAUGGUAGGAGAGCGUUCCGUAAGCCUGCGAAGGUGCAUUGAAAAGUGCGCUGGAGGUAUCGGAAGUGCGAAUGCUGACAUGAGUAGCGAUAAAGGGGGUGAAAAGCCCCCUCGCCGUAAGCCCAAGGUUUCCUACGCAACGUUCAUCGGCGUAGGGUGAGUCGGCCCCUAAGGCGAGGCAGAAAUGCGUAGCUGAUGGGAAGCAGGUUAAUAUUCCUGCACCAUUGUUAGAUGCGAUGGGGGGACGGAUCGCGGAAGGUUGUCCGGGUGUUGGAAGUCCCGGUCCUUGCAUUGGAGAAGGCGCUUAGGCAAAUCCGGGCGCGGAAUUCAAGGGUGUGAGGCGAGCGACUUAGGUCGCGAAGCAAUCGGAAGUGGUUCCAAGAAAAGCCUCUAAGCUUCAGUCUAACAAGACCGUACCGCAAACCGACACAGGUGGGCGAGAUGAGUAUUCUAAGGCGCUUGAGAGAACUCGGGAGAAGGAACUCGGCAAAUUGGUACCGUAACUUCGGGAUAAGGUACGCCCUUGUAGCUUGACUGGCCUGCGCCAGAAGGGUGAGAGGGUUGCAAUAAACUGGUGGCUGCGACUGUUUAAUAAAAACACAGCACUCUGCAAACACGAAAGUGGACGUAUAGGGUGUGACGCCUGCCCGGUGCCGGAAGAUUAAAUGAUGGGGUGCAAGCUCUUGAUUGAAGUCCCGGUAAACGGCGGCCGUAACUAUAACGGUCCUAAGGUAGCGAAAUUCCUUGUCGGGUAAGUUCCGACCUGCACGAAUGGCGUAACGAUGGCCACACUGUCUCCUCCCGAGACUCAGCGAAGUUGAAGUGUUUGUGAUGAUGCAAUCUCCCCGCGGCUAGACGGAAAGACCCCAUGAACCUUUACUGUAGCUUUGCAUUGGACUUUGAACCGAUCUGUGUAGGAUAGGUGGGAGGCUAUGAAACCGGAACGCUAGUUUCGGUGGAGCCGUCCUUGAAAUACCACCCUGGUUUGUUUGAGGUUCUAACCUUGGCCCGUGAUCCGGGUCGGGGACAGUGCAUGGUAGGCAGUUUGACUGGGGCGGUCUCCU